CAUUUCAGGCAGGCAUUAAUGAUAUUCGGCAUCGUUGCAAAUUAUUGGCAUUGGGAAUUGGAAUUGAAUUGAAAUGCCAUUUGUGCGUGGUGAGUCUUGUUCAAUAUGUAUAUCCGUAUCCUCUCUCGGAAUCCACACAUUGCGCCGCAGUUCAGUCCCGCUCCUUGCUCCUCCAUUGGGCCACAGCCUGAUCCUGUGCCGGCAAACUCAUUUACAAUAAAUGAAGACUGACUGAGGCAGCCACCGCCACGAAACAAAUGAACUCUUUUUUUUUUUUGUAUUUUGUGGCCCUUGACAGGAUGCAGGAGCACACACACGAGGGUCUGGUGCUGCUGAGGGUUUUGCUAUUUUUCAUUUAAUUAAAUAUUUAACAUGCAAAGUGCAUUAUGAGCCACCAGGCAGGAUGAGGCAGGCACGAGGCACGAGCAGGAGCUCUCUCAUCCAUCCACCACAGACGAUAACUAAGUAAAGUUUGUCGGUGGGAAUGGCAAUGGCAGACAGGAUGCUGGCUGGCUGUGGGGGACAUCACAUCGAUGAUUAUACAUCCAUCUGUCCCUGUCCAUGUUUGUCGAGGGCAAAGCUGUUGGCUUGUGAUAAUUCCAUAAACAUCAAAUUGCAUGAAGUGCGUUCAAGCGAAGUGC
rnacentral:lncRNA from 1 species